CCUACGGGCGGCUGCAGUGGGGAAUAUUGCACAAUGGGCGCAAGCCUGAUGCAGCCAUGCCGCGUGUGUGAAGAAGGCCUUCGGGUUGUAAAGCACUUUCAGCGGGGAGGAAGGCGUUAAGGGUAAUAACCUUGGCGAUUGACGUUACCCGCAGAAGAAGCACCGGCUAACUCCGUGCCAGCAGCCGCGGUAAUACGGAGGGUGCAAGCGUUAAUCGGAAUUACUGGGCGUAAAGCGCACGCAGGCGGUCUGUCAAGUCGGAUGUGAAAUCCCCGGGCUCAACCUGGGAACUGCAUUCGAAACUGGCAGGCUAGAGUCUUGUAGAGGGGGGUAGAAUUCCAGGUGUAGCGGUGAAAUGCGUAGAGAUCUGGAGGAAUACCGGUGGCGAAGGCGGCCCCCUGGACAAAGACUGACGCUCAGGUGCGAAAGCGUGGGGAGCAAACAGGGUUAGAUACCCGGGUAGUC
rnacentral:rRNA from 1 species